rnacentral:rRNA from 1 species
AGAGUUUGAUUCUGGCUCAGAACGAACGCUGGCGGCGCGUUUUAAACAUGCAAGUCGUACGAGAACCUUUGUGCUUGCACAGAGGGGAGAGUGGCGAACGGGUGAGUAACACGUGAGUAAUCUUGCUCUUGGAUUGGGACAACCAUUCGAAAGGAUGGCUAAUACCGGAUAAUAUGCUGUAUUUAACAUAUCAGUAUUAAAGAAGGGGAUCUUCGGACCUUUCACCAGGAGAUGAGCUCGCGGCCCAUUAGCUAGUUGGCGGGGUAAUGGCCCACCAAGGCGACGAUGGGUAGCCGGCCUGAGAGGGCGAUCGGCCACAUUGGGACUGAGAUACGGCCCAGACUCCUACGGGAGGCAGCAGUUAAGAAUCUUGGACAAUGGACGCAAGUCUGAUCCAGCGACGCCGCGUGAAUGAUGAAGGCCUUCGGGUCGUAAAGUUCGAUAAUCAGGGAAGAAUAAGCAAGAGGUAAUAUUUCUUGUGAUGACGGUACCUGACUAAAGCCUCGGCUAAAUACGUGCCAGCAGCCGCGGUAAUACGUAUGAGGCAAGCGUUGUUCGGGAUUAUUGGGCAUAAAGGGCAUCUAGGCGGGAUAUUAAGUCGGGUGUGAAAUCUCGAGGCUCAACCUCGAAAUUGCAUUCGAUACUGGUAUUCUUGAGUUCGGAAGUGGAAGGCGGAAUUCCUGGUGUAGCGGUGAAAUGCGUAGAUAUCAGGAAGAACACCGGUGGCGAAGGCGGCCUUCUGGUCUAGAACUGACGCUGAAGUGCGAAAGCGUGGGGAGCGAACGGGAUUAGAUACCCCGGUAGUCCACGCCGUAAACGUUGUACACUAGGUGUUAGCAAUUAUUGUUGCUAGUGCCGUCGCAAAUGCAUUAAGUGUACCGCCUGGGGAGUACGCUCGCAAGAGUGAAACUCAAAGAAAUUGACGGGGGCCCGCACAAGCGGUGGAGCAUGUGGUUUAAUUCGAUGAUACGCGAAAAACCUUACCCGGGCUUGAACUGCAGUGGACCGGUACAGAGAUGUACCUUUCCUUCGGGACUGCUGUAGAGGUGCUGCAUGGUUGUCGUCAGCUCGUGUCGUGAGAUGUUGGGUUAAGUCCCGCAACGAGCGCAACCCCUACUCUUCUGUUGCUACCAGGUAAUGCUGGGCACUCUGAAAGAACUGCCGGUGACAAACCGGAGGAAGGUGGGGAUGACGUCAAAUCAUCACGGCCCUUAUGUCCGGGGCUACACACGUGCUACAAUGGUCGGUACAAAGAGCAGCGAAGCCGCGAGGUGUAGCGAAUCUCAAAAAACCGGCCUCAGUUCGGAUUGGAGUCUGCAACUCGACUCCAUGAAGUUGGAAUCGCUAGUAAUCGCAGAUCAGAAUGUUGCGGUGAAUACGUUCCCGGGCCUUGUACACACCGCCCGUCACACCACCCGAGUUGGCAGCACCCGAAGUGGCUGAUCUAACCCGUAAGGGAGGAAGGUUACUAAGGUGAAGCUGGUAAGGGGGGUGAAGUCGGAACAAGGUA